AUACGGAGGGCGCGAACGUUGCUCGGAAUCAUUGGGCGUAAGGCGCACGUAGGCGGCCUGAUAAGUCGGAUGUGAAAGCCCACGGCUCAACCGUGGAAGUGCAUUCGAAACUGUCAGGCUUGAGUAUGGGAGAGGGUUGCGGAAUUCCCGGUGUAGAGGUGAAAUUCGUAGAUAUCGGGAGGAACACCAGCGGCGAAGGCGGCAGCCUGGACCAAUACUGACGCUGAGGUGCGAAAGCGUGGGGAGCAAACAGGAUUAGAAACCCCAGUAGUCC
rnacentral:rRNA from 1 species